UCUCCCCCAAUUUUUGGUAGGACAAACUGUAAUGCUGAGCCAGAAUAUGCCCUUUGAGCUCACCCAAGAAUAGCACAUUCAGAGAAAGUGUUAUAUGGCCUUAUUUGUUGUUGUUUAAAUGGAGGGGUGUCAGUGGUUGGGUUUUACCAGGAAAACAGUACUUUAUUCUCCUGAGGAAUCUUUGAGGGUUUCUACAUGGGAGUUUACGGGAGCCGUGCCUUUCACCCAUUCUGUUUCCACAAAUAAGGGCAAAACUUCUUUAGGGGUAAGCUUCUCUAUAUGUGGGCUUUAUGGUUUGUAUCUUAGACUUGGUGAAUCUGUCUGACGGGAAGGAGAUUUGGCGGGGAUAGAAGCAGGAGUUGGGUGUGUUCACCUGGAAAUGGUGAAGGGAGAGAAAGCAAAGACUGAGAUGUGAUCAUUUUCCCUGACUGUUGGGAGACAGGCGAUGGAUGGAAGAGGAGCAAAGGGGCACAGGGGGAGAAGAGAAGGGGACUUUUAAAAAUAGGACCUAAUAGUAUAGGCACUCAAGUCAAGGAGAAGACAAAAGACAAUGGGAGGGGUGGACAGGGUUUGAGGGACUGGGGGACUGGAGGGCAGAGGAGGAUGGGAAUUGUUCAGGUGAGGCCGGAUCUUGUGGCCAAGGCAGAUGCUGGCAAGAGGGCAGGGUGGUGCCUCCCCUCCUGGGAGGCUGGGGAAGAACCCCUUGGGCAGUUGGAAAGGGACUCAAGCAUCAGAUGGCUGUGGAACUAUCUGACCUUAUAGGUCCUCCCUCUACAUGGAGUUUUGUGAUUCUAAAUUUAGGGUUGGGGUCCACUCUUGGGAAGGGGUGAGGUGAACAGGGUCUCGAGCAUGAGGAGGCAUUCAGCAGGCAUCCACACAGCUAGUGCAAAGGGAUUGUGGUUAAUGGGUGGGAAGGAGGUAGGACCCCUCCUAAGUGAGUCCCUCUCCCUUGGGGCUACAGGGGAGUGAUGAGAUGGGUCAGACCAGGGGCUGUGGCUGGCAGGGAAGAGGAAAUAUGGACCCCUGGGCAUAGAGAGCAGGAAGGGCACAGACAGAAGAGAGGAGGGAUGAGGAGGGCAGAGCAGGAGAGAGGGGAGGUGGAGGUGGAGGUGGCCUUUGUAGAGGAGGGAGAGCUGAGUCAGAGCCCUGGGGGGCAGGGAGGGGGAGAGAGAGAACCCCAGGAAGAGGUAAAAGCAGAGGAGGGGGUAUCCAUGGAAAUAAAUCCGGUCUCAGAGAAAUCAGGCUUCCGGAGAGUGAGUUUGUUUGUAAUAAUAAUACGAAUUAUUCUCUCAGCCUGAGGUCACUGGGUCGUGUAGGCGGGAGAAAUUGGGAGUUGGUAUAGGAAAAAUUGGGGGGUUUGGGAGAGGGUUGGACUAAUUCUUGGAGCUGUGAGCGUGGAGUGGGUGCGUGGGGCGGGGGAUAAGGGGGUGGAAGCAAGGCAAAGGCUGAGGGGAGAGACGACUUAGGAGGCGCCUGUGCCCGCCCCCAGUCCAAGGUAAAUAAAGAGGCGGCCCCGCCCCGCCAGCCCCUUGCCGACAGGGGCAGGUCCCGGUUCCGCGGGCCGGCCGGCCCCACCCUCCUGGGAGCGGGCUCCCGACCCCGGUCCGUCCCUCUAAAUCCCCCGCCUCCUCCCCGCGCCCCCCGGCCCUUCCCUUCAGUCCAGCCCAGCCCGGCCCCAUUUUCUCCGGGCGUGGACCCAGUUCCCCUCCCCGAGGCACCGGGCGCAUCCCGCCUCCGCCCCCGCCCCGGAGGGAAGAUGCACGUGAACAAAGCGAAUCGGGGGAGGCAGGAACGACAGAAAAAGGCAACAAGAGAGAGGGAAAGAGCAGGCAAGAAGUGAAGUCCAGAAAAGACACAAGAAAGGGCACGGAGCCUCUUGACUAAGCAACACCGGCAAACGCAAGGUGUGAAAGAGCAGACCGGUGAGAAGAAUUAGCAAGUAUUUUUCCCCAUAUCUACUAUUGUUGGUUAUGCAAAGGAAGCAUCAUGUGGUUUCUGCCCUCCUGGAAUAUAUUGUCUAACCGUAAAGGAAAAAGCAUGCAAAGAUGGGGGAGAAAGAAAAAGGAGGAGAAGCCGAAAGAGGAGGAGGACGACGAGAAGGAGAGGAAGGAGAAGAAGGAUCCAUAGGCAGAAUCCAGAGUCCCUAACCUUGGUUGGAAGAACUUACAUCUUUGUGUUCGCUGACUUGUAACUGAAAUUCUCCGUGUCCUUCAGCUCUGGGAUGCUGCCCUUCUCAGUCUGCUGUUUUCUUCUGUAAGCAAGGCAGCCAGGUCCAGAGAGGACCGCAGAGGCGUCUUCCUGCCGGUGGAAGAGCAGAGGAUAGACAGGGCGUUAAGCACCGGUCCGUGAGUGUUGGAACUGCACACGACCUUAGACAUCAAGUCUGCCACUAGCGAUUCAGGGACAUGGAAGAUUCGUCUCUUCAAUCUUCACAAUCCUACGGCUAAGUGGCUCAGCGGCGACCAAAAUUCACGUUCUCCAGCUUUCUUCUAGCAUUCUUUUCCUUAUCCUAUGAUGCUACCUUAAAUGUACGGUGGGUUAUUUUUCUGAUUUUUAUUAUGUAAGAUAUGUGUAACACUAAACCCUGUUGAAAUAUGCUCAGACCCCCUACUCCUUUUGCUCAUGAGAUCGAUCAGCUCCUUCUGGAUAAAAUGAGAUAACAAGAACAUUGUUCUAAGAGGAUAGAUUUCAUGUUAAGUGUUCUUGCCACAAUAUAAUUAAAAAAAAAAAAAAGAAAAGAACAUUGUUCUAAACUUAGGAGUUCCAGCGCUUUGUUCUUUGUGCUUAAGAAUGGGCGUACGGAAAAAAAAAAAAAGAAUGGGUGUGUAAUCUUUGCGUAUAUGUUCAGGUCAUUGUUUGGUUUAGCUGUUUUCAUAGUGAUAAGCCUAAGGGGACAAGACUUUACUUUCCUGGGUGGUGGGGAGAGUGGGUGUUCACUUCAGGGCUGUUCAUUCACCAAAUCAAUCAUGACUGUCUUGCCAAUGGGCAGUGGACCCACCCAGGUGGUAAAGUCCAAAAGAGACAGGAAAUUUCGAACGCUGGGUGGUGUGUACAUGUUUUUCUCAAGCAAUAGUUACUUGUUUUAGGGGAAAAAAAUAUUUAUUUAUUUUUAAGUAGGCUCCACAUCCCCCAUUGGGGCUUGUACUCAGGGCCCCGAGAUUAAGAGUUGCAUGCUCUAUCCACUGAGCCAGCCAGAUGCCCCUAGAAAAAAAUUUAAAUACAUACAAGCAGAAAGAAGGAAACCAAAGCCAUCACCCAUUUUUUUUACAGUAUUAGCAUUUUACAACAUGUCCUUUCAAACUGUCUCAUGUACCUAUAAGCACUGAGGUGGGUGGUGGUAGUGGACGUUGGAUUUUAUUAUGGUCGGUGGAAAAUUGUGUUGAGGGAGGAAAUGGGAGCAAUUUCUGCAUCUGAAAGUGGGAGCUGGAAUUUGCCACUUGAUCUUUCUCUCCCUAUAUCUCAAGUUUCCUUCACAGCCCAAGUUCUUGGAAGAGCUGCCAGCAUUCGUCCUCAUUUCCUCACCUCCAUUCACUCCUCAUCCCACUCCAAUCUGGCGUCUUCCCUUUGCCGAAACAGCUCGCACAGCGGUCUCACGUAUCCUCCAUGUCAGCAGAUGGGGUUCAUCUCUAAUAUUAGCUUGACACAUCAGGAGCAUUCCACAGUUGACCACUCCCUGGUCCCCGAACAUUCUUUCCUGGUUUUUCUCCUGCCCUUCUGGCUGCUCCUUCUCUCUCUUCUUUCUUUGCUAAUUCAUUUCAUUCAUUCAUUCAUUCAUUCUGCAUUACAAGUAUUUCUUGAGCACCUAUAUGGCAGUACUAUUCCAGGUGCUACGGGACAAAAUUAAUCCCUUCAUGGGGUUCACAGUCCAGUGAGAAGUAGUUGGGAGGAGAUAUCAAUGUAGAAAUUAAAUGAGUAAUUUUUUUUGUUUUUUUUGGGUUUUUUUGGUAUCGAAGCCCAGGACCUAACUAUAGAAUACUUUUAAGGAGAUAAAUGCUAUGAAGAAAAAUGAAGGCAAGGAGGAUAACAAAUAAAGGGCAUUAGUGUAUGCAGUUUUUUACUUUUCCUUUUUUUUCUUUUUUCUUUCUUUUUUUUUUUUGGAGAGAGAGAGAGAGCACAUGUGCAUGCGCGUUCUUGGGUGCACAGG